rnacentral:rRNA from 1 species
UGGGGAAUAUUGCACAAUGGGCGCAAGCCUGAUGCAGCCAUGCCGCGUGUGUGAAGAAGGCCUUCGGGUUGUAAAGCACUUUCAGCGAGGAGGAAGGGUAGUGUGUUAAUAGCACAUUGCAUUGACGUUACUCGCAGAAGAAGCACCGGCUAACUCCGUGCCAGCAGCCGCGGUAAUACGGAGGGUGCAAGCGUUAAUCGGAAUUACUGGGCGUAAAGCGCACGCAGGCGGUUUGUUAAGUCAGAUGUGAAUCCCGC